UAUGAGUCUCUUCUCAUGUUUUUAGUCUUUUGGACUUUUAUUCUCAUCCCUGCCCUUCUCGCACAUCGUCUUUGGACAAAAGGGUAUAAAUGAGCAUCUUAAGCAUUAAUUUUCUUUGUGCUUUGCUAUUUAGAAAAGAUCAAAUCAACUUCUCAAUUCAUAUACGUUUUCAGAAAGAGACAACUCAAAAUAAGCUACUUGAGCACUAAAGCU
rnacentral:lncRNA from 1 species